UGGACCAAGGCACAUGCGGUAGCCUCGGCCUCUCUCGCCAUGAGUGUUGAGGGAAGCUUCGGUGAAUCUCGAAUCACUGCCCCAGUGCGAGCCACCUUCUCCCCCAACUGAAACAUCUGCAUCAAACAGGAAAAGCCAAUAAUGCCCCUUUGGUUGUCUUUGUUACCGGCGGAUAUAUCGGUAUCCGCUAUCUCGUCCGCCGUGGCCGCCGCCACGGUCACUGCCGCAACCUUCUUCUUAGUCUGCAAGUCUCACCUCUGCUCUCACAAAGAAAACCUCAUAACACUCCAUCAAGAACAACCGAAGCGCAAUCCACGUGGCAAGAUCCUGUUCGUUUCGCCAAUGGGACUUUCAACUUCGGAAGGCCUCUGCAAUUUGUUAGAGUCGAAAGGCCUCGUUUUGGAGGUCGUAGAUGCUCGGAAUUAUGAUCCCGAAGAUCUAUCCGAGGAGAACCUCAUCCUCCUCGUUCAUUCAACUUCGGAUUUUUGCUACCAACAUCACCGACUGUGGGCCUACAAAGAGGACGACAUCAAAGGAGCAAAGGACUUCGCCAGUUGGCUCGUUCAUAACGCGGAGCGCUUUGGGAUCGGAGCGGCUGUUGUGAAGGCUUGCAAUUUCACUGCAUUUGUGGUGGGCAAAAGGGAUGGUAAGAAUUUGAUGGCUAAGGCCACCAAUCAUUUUAGGGAUUUGGAUCACGUUCAAAACGGUAAUCAUUUUGAAGGGUGGUGGGGAAGUGUUGUUGCGACGGUUUCAGGAGAUACGGUUGCUAAUGGCAUGUGCGGGGAAUCUGAACCUGAGGAUGAUGUUGGUUGUUCUGAUCCAAAAAGCAUAUAUAUGUUGGUGGAAAAUGUGGAUGUAGUAGAUAGUAAAAGAACCUUCAGGCGCAGGAUGUUAACUAUUACCGAGGCCAACUUUAUGAAGAAUGGAAGUGUUGAUCUUGAAGAUGGAGGUCCUGUGACUGCCCAAUGGCCUGUUGGAGACGAUCUAAUAAUCGAUUCCAACUUACCAACUUUUCAAGGAUUUUGUUCCCUUGGUGGCAGCUUGUUCAUUGCUGGUGGUAUCAUGUGUAACAAUGGAUCAAAAUUUGAAUUUGAGCUAGAAUUGGAACAUUUUUUCCCUGCAAAAAUGUGGUGCCUCAAGUAUGACGGUUCAACCUGGAUUUGGAGUUUAUGCGGAAGCAUGUUCUACCACCGGAUGAAUCCCACAGUAGUCCCAUACCAUGGCAAGUUGUGCAUCUUUGGGGGUGACAUUGGAAAUGGAUAUUGGGUUGAAAUCUAUGAUCCAAAAUCAGAUUUAUGGGAAAAAAGGGAAGUGUCCGAUUAUAGGUUCUUAUGGCAGACUCCUAAAUCUUACUUUUUGUGGGAGGACAGAACGGAGCCUCGUAAAAAGACCCUCAUUAUGUUUUAUUUUUCUUCUGGCAAGAAUCAGUGGCUCAACUCAUAUGACUUCGAGGCCAACCUUUGGAAAUUCCUUUACUACAAUUUACCGCCAAUUCGUGAUUGUUGUCCUAGGAAACUAAUUCGUUUGGCAUGUAGUAAUUAUCUCCUCAUUGUUGACUCUGCCCAUAUGUGGUACAUUUAUGACUUUUCUAAGAGGAAUCUAGUGGCAGAUGUGCGCGUCAAUGGUUUGGAAGAGCUGACUAGACGGGUGUCAUAUGUUUUCUGUUGUCACUGCACCAGCGAAGAAAGUCUGAUUUAUGUCUUCAUGGAACUAGAUGAAAAGGUUGUUGAAGAACAUGGUGGUGAUCCUGACCUUGUUCCUUAUGCUAGAGUCAAGCUCCAAAUGAAUGGUAAUUUUUUCGCCAAGGUUGAAUCCAAGGGUAAUCUUAAAGUUGGUCCCUAUAGCAAACUCUAUAUGUUUGCUGUUGGUGACCAAGACACUAAAUUAAAUGGAGGAUUGUAGCUUAGUUUUGACUUUUGUGCAUCAUACUGGCAUGGUGACAUCAUUCAUUUUUGGAGGAGCGGCCAAGGACCCCAUACAUUGAAAAGCCUAAUUGCUAAGUGUAAGAUUUAGACUUUAGAAUACAAUUUAGAUAGGAUGCUUGAUCCAAGUUUAAGACUGAUUUUUUGGGUAUUUAGCUAGAAUUGAGACUAUUCAACAAUUUUUCUAAUUUCACACCCAUUUUAUCAUUAUUAUUUUUUGUUUUUAGUUCGACUGGGACAAUAGUCAAAUUUUGAGACUUCUGAAAUAAUUAGCUAGUAUUCAGAACAUUCAUAGGUGGAACCAGCAUCAGCUUGGUGGCAAUAAUUUUAGAGGUUUGUGUUGGGUAGGGAUUUCAUCCGAAACUUGUUUGUUGUGUGGGAGUGGAAGAGGGAAGAUAUAGGUGGGGUUGGAUGUUAAUAAAUAAGCCUUGUCCUUUGGAUGCUCUUUGGGUAACUUAUGAUGAACACUCCUUUUUCUUUGGAUUAUUGAUGAUGAACAAAUUUCUCUUUAUUUGAUGGAUCCAUUUGUUGUUUCACAAAUCAGUAUUAUUUUGAUCAUUGAUAUAUGUUUGAAUUGCACAAUCUAAAUAUUUAAAGUAUACAAUACAUGUUAGCUACAGUUGAAAAACUUAAUAUUUUUCCCAAUAAAGAAAAGGAAGGUAGUAGGUGGGAGGUGGUUUAGAAACUAAAGAUGAUUGGCAUGCUAAGAGUA